UUUGGGAUAACCCUCGGAAACGGGGGCUAAUACCGGAUAUUCACAUUCUGUCGCAUGGUGGGGUGUGGAAAGUUUUUCGGCUUGGGAUGGGCUCGCGGCCUAUCAGCUUGUUGGUGGGGUGAUGGCCUACCAAGGCGGCGACGGGUAGCCGGCCUGAGAGGGCGACCGGCCACACUGGGACUGAGACACGGCCCAGACUCCUACGGGAGGCAGCAGUGGGGAAUAUUGCACAAUGGGCGCAAGCCUGAUGCAGCGACGCCGCGUGAGGGAUGACGGCCUUCGGGUUGUAAACCUCUUUCGGCCCUGACGAAGCGUUUGUGACGGUAGGGGCAGAAGAAGCGCCGGCCAACUACGUGCCAGCAGCCGCGGUAAGACGUAGGGCGCGAGCGUUGUCCGGAUUUAUUGGGCGUAAAGAGCUCGUAGGCGGCUUGUCGCGUCGGCUGUGAAAUCCCGUGGCUUAACUGCGGGUCUGCAGCCGAUACGGGCAGGCUGGAGUUCGGUAGGGGAGACUGGAAUUCCUGGUGUAGCGGUGAAAUGCGCAGAUAUCAGGAGGAACACCGGUGGCGAAGGCGGGUCUCUGGGCCGAUACUGACGCUGAGGAGCGAAAGCGUGGGGAGCGAACAGGAUUAGAUACCCUGGUAGUCCACGCUGUAAACGUUGGGCGCUAGGUGUGGGGGGCCUCUCCGGUUUCCUGUGCCGCAGCUAACGCAUUAAGCGCCCCGCCUGGGGAGUACGGCCGCAAGGCUAAAACUCAAAGGAAUUGACGGGGGCCCGCACAAGCGGCGGAGCAUGCGGCUUAAUUCGAUGCGACGCGAAGAACCUUACCUGGGCUUGACAUGCAGGGCAAAGCCGGUGAAAGCCGGCGCUCUACGGAGCCUGCACAGGUGGUGCAUGGCUGUCGUCAGCUUGUGCCGUGAGGUGUUGCCUUAAGUGGCGCAACGAGCGCAACCCUUGUCCUUAGUUGCCAGCGGGUAAAGCCGGGAACUCUAGGGAGACUGCCGGUGCCAAACCGGAGGAAGGUGGGGAUGACGUCAAGUCAUCAUGCCCCUUAUGUCCAGGGCUGCACGCAUGCUACAAUGCGCGGUACAAAGGGCUGCGAUCCCGUAAGGGGGAGCGAAUCCCAAAAAGCCGCGCUCAGUUCGGAUCGGGGUCUGCAACCCGACCCCGUGAAGUCGGAGUCGCUAGUAAUCGCAGAUCAGCAAUGCUGCGGUGAUACGUUCCCGGGCAUUGUACACAC
rnacentral:rRNA from 1 species